ACUCAACACUUACUAAUUAAAAAGGGUGAGUCUAAAUUGUUAAAGCACGCCGUCUAAGAACGGAUCCUUGAUCAAUUUGUUAGCCCUAAACUUGUAUAUAACGGAGUUU
rnacentral:sRNA from 1 species